UACAGAGGGGGCAAGCGUUGUUCGGAAUUACUGGGCGUAAAGGGCGCGUAGGCGGCCCGCUAAGUCGAACGUGAAAUCCCCGGGCUCAACCCGGGAACUGCGUCCGAUACUGGCAGGCUUGAAUCCGGGAGAGGGAUGCGGAAUUCCAGGUGUAGCGGUGAAAUGCGUAGAUAUCUGGAGGAACACCGGUGGCGAAGGCGGCAUCCUGGACCGGCAUUGACGCUGACGGCGCGAAAGCCAGGGGAGCAAAGCGGG
rnacentral:rRNA from 1 species